GGACGAACGCUGGCGGCGUGCCUAACACAUGCAAGUCGAACGAAGCAUUUGGAGCCGAUCUCUUCGGAGUGACGCACCUUAUGACUUAGUGGCGGACGGGUGAGUAACACGUGAGCAACCUGCCUCUCAGAGUGGAAUAACAGUUGGAAACGGCUGCUAAUACCACAUAACGUUUUUGUGCCGCAUGACACUUCAACCAAAGAUUUAUCGCUGAGAGAUGGGCUCGCGUCCGAUUAGGUAGAUGGUGGGGUAACGGCCUACCAUGCCGACGAUCGGUAGCCGGACUGAGAGGUUGAUCGGCCACAUUGGGACUGAGACACGGCCCAGACUCCUACGGGAGGCAGCAGUGGGGGAUAUUGCACAAUGGGCGCAAGCCCUGAUGCAGCAACGCCGCGUGCGGGAAGACGGCCUUCGGGUUGUAAACCGCUGUCCUUGGGGAAGAAACAAAUGACGGUACCCAAGAAGGAAGCCACGGCUAACUACGUGCCAGCCGCCGC
rnacentral:rRNA from 1 species